rnacentral:miRNA from 1 species
UUCACACCGACUAGGAUGGCAAUAGUCAAAACGACAGACAAUACCAAGAGUUGGCAAAGAUGUGGAAAAAUUGGAACCCUCCUAUUUUGCUGGUGGAAACC